AUACGGAGGAUCCGAGCGUUAUCCGGAUUUAUUGGGUUUAAAGGGAGCGUAGGUGGACAGUUAAGUCAGUUGUGAAAGUUUGCGGCUCAACCGUAAAAUUGCAAUUGAUACUGGCAGCCUUGAGUACAGUUGAGGUAGGCGGAAUUCGUGGUGUAGCGGUGAAAUGCUUAGAUAUCACGAAGAACUCCGAUUGCGAAGGCAGCCUACUAAACUGCCACUGACAUUGAUGCUCGAAAGUGUGGGUAUCAAACAGGAUUAGAUACCCUGGUAGUCCACACGGUAAACGAUGAAUACUCGCUGUUUGCGAUAUACAGCAAGCGGCCAAGCGAAAGCGUUAAGUAUUCCACCUGGGGAGUACGCCGGCAACGGUGAAACUCAAAUGAAUUGACGGGG
rnacentral:rRNA from 1 species